AGACACCUCUCUGCUGGCAUAUUCCUGGGUCCAUGAUGGAAGAAGGAAAAGUAUUUUUAAAAGGCAAUCUAAAGCUCAUACUGUGACUGCAACAUAAAAUGUGUUCACCUUAGGAGACUGCUUUCACCGCAAGUGGGUCACCGGGUCUCUGAUGGUUCUGGUUUCCUGGGCACCCAGAAUAUGUGUGUCACCAUUUGUCCUGAAGCUGACAUCUCUGAGCUGGAUGGCACCCUGGACAUCAACCGGCCCUUCACCUUCACAUCACACAGGAGGGACACUGGUCCAUAGACAGGAUGCCUGCUCUGGUCACCAGCUGGAGGGUGGCAGAACUUGGGUACCUGAGCUUUGGACUCUGCCACGCAGAGCACUUCCUCAGUCCCUCCUGCUGCCCCUGGCAGGGUGGAGCUGGCAGGGCAGCUGAUCCAGGACCGUCCACUUCCCAGCCAGCAGGAGGAUGGAAAAGC
rnacentral:lncRNA from 1 species